rnacentral:tRNA from 1 species
GUCCCUGUGGCGCAGAGGAUAGCCCGUUAGACUUCUAAUCCAAAGGUCGUGGGUUCGAUCCCCACCAGGGAUG